GAUGCAUCUAGAUUAGAGUUUGAUCCUGGCUCAGAUUGAACGCUGGCGGCAUACCUUAAAGGAAAGUCGAACGGCAGCACGGGGGCAACCCUGGUGGCGAGAGGCGAACGGGUGAGUAAUGCAUCGGAACGUGCCCAGUAGUGGGGGAUAACCAGUCGAAAGAUUGGCUAAUACCGCAUACGACCUAUGGGUGAAAGCGGGGGACCGCAAGGCCUCGCGCUAUUGGAGCGGCCGAUGUCUGAUUAGCUAGUUGGUGAGGUAAAGGCUCACCAAGGCGACGAUCAGUAGCUGGUCUGAGAGGACGACCAGCCACACUGGGACUGAGACACGGCCCAGACUCCUACGGGAGGCAGCAGUGGGGAAUUUUGGACAAUGGGCGAAAGCCUGAUCCAGCCAUGCCGCGUGCGGGAAGAAGUCCUUCGGGUUGUAAACCGCUUUUGGCAGGAACGAAACGGCGCUGACUAAUACUCGGCGCUAAUGACGGUACCUGCAGAAUAAGCACCGGCUAACUACGUGCCAGCAGCCGCGGUAAUACGUAGGGUGCAAGCGUUAAUCGGAAUUACUGGGCGUAAAGCGUACGCAGGCGGCCAUGCAAGACAGGUGUGAAAUCCCCGGGCUUAACCUGGGAACUGCAUUUGCGACUGCAUGGCUAGAGUUUGUCAGAGGGGGGUGGAAUUCCACGUGUAGCAGUGAAAUGCGUAGAGGUGUGGAGGAACACCGAUGGCGAAGGCAGCCCCCUGGGACCUGACUGACGCUCAUGUACGAAAGCGUGGGGAGCAAACAGGAUUAGAUACCCUGGUAGUCCACGCCCUAAACGAUGUCGACUAGUUGUCGGGGAUUCACUUCUUCGGUAACGCAGCUAACGCGUGAAGUCGACCGCCUGGGGAGUACGGUCGCAAGAUUAAAACUCAAAGGAAUUGACGGGGACCCGCACAAGCGGUGGAUGAUGUGGAUUAAUUCGAUGCAACGCGAAAAACCUUACCUACCCUUGACAUGCCAGGAACCUCGCAGAGAUGUGAGGGUGCUCGAAAGAGAGCCUGGACACAGGUGCUGCAUGGCUGUCGUCAGCUCGUGUCGUGAGAUGUUGGGUUAAGUCCCGCAACGAGCGCAACCCUUGUCACUAGUUGCUACGAAAGGGCACUCUAGUGAGACUGCCGGUGACAAACCGGAGGAAGGUGGGGAUGACGUCAAGUCCUCAUGGCCCUUAUGGGUAGGGCUUCACACGUCAUACAAUGGCUGGUACAGAGGGUUGCCAACCCGCGAGGGGGAGCUAAUCCCACAAAACCAGUCGUAGUCCGGAUUGCAGUCUGCAACUCGACUGCAUGAAGUCGGAAUCGCUAGUAAUCGCGGAUCAGCAUGUCGCGGUGAAUACGUUCCCGGGUCUUGUACACGCCGCCCGUCACACCAUGGGAGUGGGUUUCACCAGAAGCCGUUUGCCUAACCGCAAGGAGGGCGGCGACCACGGUGAGAUUCAUGACUGGGGUGAAGUCGUAACAAGGUAGCCGUAUCGGAAGGUGCGGCUGGAUCACCUCCUUAAUCGGAUCCCGGGCCCGUCGACUGCAGAGGCCUGCAUGCAAGCUUCCCUAUAGUGAGUCGUAU
rnacentral:rRNA from 1 species